UUGAAAGGGAAACGAUUGAAGUCAGUCGUACCGGUGGGUAAUCAGCCUUUCGGCGUGAUUAUGUGGAGCGUGAGGAGUUAAACGCCCUCAUGCCUGCAUAUUCGUGUUCUUUGGGUGUACUUACCCGCAUGGUAGGUUAACAUCAAUUUCGAACGUCAUAAAAUGGUUGGAGGAAUGUAGCUUCGAUCUCGUAUUGAAGUGUUAUACCUUCGGCAGAUGUGAUGAUCGGGAUUGAGGAUUGCAACGGAUACCCCUCGGGCUGCCCGUCUGAUCUCUGAAAGUUACUCUGGUGCCGAAAGCUCGCUUACGGUCAUCAAAGUUGACGUUCAACAGGUUAGAACGGGAUAAAUUCGUUAAGGAUGUUGACGUA
rnacentral:rRNA from 1 species